UGUCAAAAGGAACGCUUAACUAAAUAUUUGAAACAAUGUUGCAAUUCUUUCCUCUGAAUCUAAAUUUUGCUCCUAUAAUGUCUGUUUUGUUUCUGCCCAGAAUUUCUAGAUGAAGGGUGUUCCAAACUUCCAAAUCAGGUUAUAUCUUUUGGGAAAAUGUUAUAUUCAUUUUGCUUUUUUCCUGUUUCCUUGAAGUUGGGGGCGAAAUCAAAAUGGC
rnacentral:misc_RNA from 1 species